rnacentral:rRNA from 1 species
CGGAACGGGUGAGUAACGCGUGAGGAACCUGCCUCAAAGAGGGGGACAACAGUUGGAAACGACUGCUAAUACCGCAUAAGCCCACAGGUCGGCAUCGACCAGAGGGAAAAGGAGCAAUCCGCUUUGAGAUGGCCUCGCGUCCGAUUAGCUAGUUGGUGAGGUAAUGGCCCACCAAGGCAACGAUCGGUAGCCGGACUGAGAGGUUGAACGGCCACAUUGGGACUGAGACACGGCCCAG